AUUGAACGCUGGCGGCAUGCUUUACACAUGCAAGUCGAACGGUAACAGCAUUCGGUGGCUGACGAGUGGCGAACGGGUGAGUAAUGUAUCGGAACGUGCCCAGUAGUGGGGGAUAACUACUCGAAAGAGUGGCUAAUACCGCAUGAGAUCUCUGGAUGAAAGCGGGGGACCGUAAGGCCUCGCGCUACUGGAGCGGCCGAUAUCAGAUUAGGUUGUUGGUGGGGUAAAGGCCUACCAAGCCUGCGAUCUGUAGCUGGUCUGAGAGGACGACCAGCCACACUGGGACUGAGACACGGCCCAGACUCCUACGGGAGGCAGCAGUGGGGAAUUUUGGACAAUGGACGCAAGUCUGAUCCAGCAAUGCCGCGUGCAGGACGAAGGCCUUCGGGUUGUAAACUGCUUUUGUACGGAACGAAAAGCCUUCUUCUAAUACAGGAGGGUCAUGACGGUACCGUAAGAAUAAGCACCGGCUAACUACGUG
rnacentral:rRNA from 1 species